rnacentral:rRNA from 1 species
CCAGCUCCAAUAGCGUAUAUUAAAGUUGUUGUGGUUAAAAAGCUCGUAGUUGGAUUUUGGGUUGGAGGAGUCGGUCUGCCGACAGGUUGAACUGUCUCCUCCAUCCUUCUUGCCGGGGACGUAUUCUGGCCUUCAUUGGCUGGGACACGGAGUCGGCGAUGUUACUUUGAAAAAAUUAGAGUGUUCAAAGCAGGCCUAUGCUCUGAAUACAUUAGCAUGGAAUAACGCUAUAGGACUCUGGUCCUAUUGUGUUGGUCUUCGGGACCGGAGUAAUGAUUAAUAGGGACAGUUGGGGGCAUUCGUAUUUCAUUGUCAGAGGUGAAAUUCUUGGAUUUAUGAAAGACGAACUACUGCGAAAGCAUUUGCCAAGGAUGUUUUCA